AGCAGCCGCGGUAAUUCCAGCUCCAAUAGCGUAUAUUAAAGUUGUUGCAGUUAAAAAGCUCGUAGUUGAAUUUCGGGAUCAAAUUGUUGGUCGUGCCUCGGUACGCACUGGUAUUAUUGGUUCCUACCUUCUGAAGAACCGCGAUGUCAUUAAUUUGGUGUCGUGGGGAAUCAGGACUGUUACUUUGAAAAAUUAGAGUGUUUAAAGCAGGCUUACGCUUGAAUACAUUAGCAUGGAAUAAUGAAAUAGGACGUUUGAUUCUAUUUUGUUGGUUUCUAGGAUUGACGUAAUGAUUAAUAGGGAUAGUUGGGGGCAUUAGUAUUCAAUUGUCAGAGGUGAAUUCUUGGAUUUAUUGAAGACUAACUACUGCGAAAGCA
rnacentral:rRNA from 1 species